rnacentral:rRNA from 1 species
AUUGAACGCUGGCGGCAUGCUUUACACAUGCAAGUCGAACGGUAACAGGCCUUCGGGUGCUGACGAGUGGCGAACGGGUGAGUAAUGCAUCGGAACGUACCCAGAGGUGGGGGAUAACGCAGCGAAAGCUGUGCUAAUACCGCAUGUGAUCUGAGGAUGAAAGCGGGGGACCGAGCAGCAAUGUUUGGCCUCGCGCCUUUGGAGCGGCCGAUGUCGGAUUAGCUAGUUGGGUGGGUAAAGGCCUACCAAGGCGACGAUCCGUAGCUGGUCUGAGAGGACGACCAGCCACACUGGGACUGAGACACGGCCCAGACUCCUACGGGAGGCAGCAGUGGGGAAUUUUGGACAAUGGGCGCAAGCCUGAUCCAGCAAUGCCGCGUGCGGGAAGAAGGCCUUCGGGUUGUAAACCGCUUUUGGCAGGAACGAAACGGUGUCCGCUAAUACCGGGCGCUAAUGACGGUACCUGCAGAAUAAGCACCGGCUAACUACGUG